UCUGACACAGUUAUAAGCUCCCGCACCUUUGGGAGACCUGAAGCAUUCAGACGUUUUCAGACGUUAGAUAUGAAGGAGAUUUCAAUCUUAAAAUAUGUGCUCGUUUUGGAGUUAGCUCUUCUUCUUCUGUCGGCGAUCGACGAAGGUGGUAGGUCAUUUGCUCUUGCACUGUCAGAGCAUGUCGAAAUUCAGGAAAGAGUUCUCGGGCCCCGACCGCGACCAACUCCGAGGCCUCCGCCACGUCCAUCUACAAGAAAAGAUCAUAGAAGGGGAUGACAUGGAAUGCAUCCAGGACACCUUUUGCAGUACCGCAUGGGAGUGGUCAUACAUAAUUUGAAAUAUUUUUUGCUGGAUAACGUUGUGUGCUAUAAAUUAUGCGAAGGAAUAAUGUUCCAAUUAUAUUACAAAGUUUCACUUCAA
rnacentral:lncRNA from 1 species